rnacentral:other from 1 species
GUUAAGCUGCGGCGUUGGUGACUGCCAAUAACGUUUUUUGAUCUUGCCUUGUUCUAACGGGAACCAUAAAGCUCUGACAGCAGUAGACCGGGCAAGUACCCGGAAACUUUAAGUCAGACAUUCGGUGCCCACCUGGUUUAUCCAGGUCAUAAACUGAGGUAAAACGGCGUUGCGGUGAACCU